rnacentral:lncRNA from 1 species
GCUAUGCAAAUGGUACGGCCUACGGAGGCCCCUUUACCCAGGGGCCCUCCGGUUGCCAAAACAGACCAUUCCCCGAGAACAGUCGCCUGGAAACGGGCGCUGUCAUAGCAGCCUCAGGGUAACGCUCUGGCCUCCGUGGCACUGACUGUCCCUCGGCUGGCAUGUACCAGUGCCUUGUUCUACGGUGAUGUCUCACGGGGCAUGUCCUGUCAUCUGGUGUCCAGCAGAGUUGAGCAUCUCAGAGCAUGUAACCUCCGCAAACCGGCUUUCUCACAGCCUUCCGGGGAGGCGGGGAUGGACGAGAAUCAAAUGCUUGUUGUCGUCUUAAGAUUUUUGCUUUUAACUGAGUGCAUAUGUGUGUGUCUGGGUGCCGGUAUGCACACGUGAGUUCCAGCGCCCACAGGGCAUCAGGCCUCCUGGGGCUGGAGUGACAGGUGGUUAUGAAUGCUCAUGUGGUGCCUGAGAACUGAAUUCUGGUCCUCUGCAGACCAUAAGGACUCUUCACAAUUAGAACUGUUUCUCAGGCAUGAACAUCCUGUUCUUCAUGUUCAUGUGUUGAUGACUUUCACCACAAUGAAAUAUUAAGCUUUGUCCCUUCAGCUGGCAUGCCUGUGGUGUGUGCCCGGAACCAUGUGGAUUGCUAUGGCCAGAACAGGGGAAGGCCACGUUCCUUUUCCCCUUUAUAAUGUAGUCAUCUUGAUGCUUUGCAACAUCAGCGAGUGCUGAAAUGUAGAUACUGAUACAGGACCUCUGAUAGCCACAAGCACAAGAAGAACACUUGACUGGGGUAGCAAACGCUGUCUCAAGGGAAAGCUCUUUUUCCCAAGUGCUAGGAUUACAGGGAGCCAUCAUACCUGGUUUAGACAUAUUUAAACAUAACCGGUGAGAACUC